rnacentral:rRNA from 1 species
UACGGAGGGUGCAAGCGUUAAUCGGAUUUAUUGGGCGUAAAGAGGGCGUAGGCGGGAAGGUCAGUCAGACGUGAAAGCCCGGGGCUCAACCCCGGAACUGCGUUUGAAACUUCCUUUCUUGAGGGUAGGCGGAGAAAACGGAAUUCCACAAGUAGCGGUGAAAUGCGUAGAUAUGUGGAAGAACACCUGUGGCGAAAGCGGUUUUCUAGCUUAUACCUGACGCUCAUGCCCGAAAGCUAGGGGAGCAAACAGGAUUAGAAACCCGGGUAGCCC